AGUGUGAAGAUUGAAAGUUUUUUUUGUGAAAGGUAAAUACGAAUACGUACUCAAAAGUGCGGAUUUUAUUGUUGGAAAAGAAUAAAAUCCUUCGGUGGCACGCGGGGUAAUGUAACGAUGCACGUUACUAUAGGUAUUAAAUUAAUCGUAAUCUCAAUCUCAUCUAAUACUUUAAAUAAUAAAUAUUAUAGGUCUUAAACCAAUAUGUUAAUUUGUUUUAAAUAAUGCAACAUAAUGCGCGCGAGUGUACUCUCGGCCGAACUACUUGCGUCAGCAGUUUUACUCUCGCGAACAUUCUUAUAGCGCUGGCCAUAUAUCUCCGCUCCUCACUCUGCGCGCAAUCGUCUUAAAGGACGGACGUUGCCGGUCGCGUUCACGAGCCUUGUGCCGUGUCGUCUCACGCGCCGGUUCGAUUUCAAGUAAUAUAGUUUAAUCGGCAGUGUUCGCCGUGGACAAUUUAAUUCUUUUUUCUAAAUACUUAAUUCGCAGUAAUGAGCUACCUAACGAACUAGUCAAAUAACGUAUUUUCCGUUGUGCACCCCGGUUAAGGGGUGCAUUUGUACGGCGUAAGCCUACGGCGGCGGCAGGAAGGACCUGCUGAUCCGGCCGCAGAGUGGGAAGCCAGCCAGAGUCUACCUCGAUUCACCCACCAGCUGACCUCGGCGCUUCCCGAGACGUCCCGACGACCGACCCGGGCCCUGCUCAUUCACCUUGCCACGUCAGGGGAGUACCCUACUACGUCAGUGAAAGCAGACAGGCUUAUUAAUAACCUAACGGACCUUACCACGACCCCCGCUCAGUUUUUUUUCCCAUUAUUUUUUUUUUGUUAAAAUAUAAUUAGUAAUUUGUAA